rnacentral:misc_RNA from 1 species
GAUGAAGAACGCAGCAAAAUGCGAUACUUGGUGUGAAUUGCAGAAUCCCGUGAACCAUCGAGUUUUUGAACGCAAGUUGCGCCCGAAGCCUUUUGGCCGAGGGCACGUCUGCCUGGGCGUCACGCAUCGCGUCGCCCCCCACAAUUAUCCGUAAAGGGAACAUGUGUUUUGGGGGCGGAUAUUGGUCUCCCGUGCUCAUGGCGUGGUUGGCCGAAAUAGGAGUCCUUUCGAUGGACGCACGAACUAGUGGUGGUCGUAAAAACCCUCGUCUUUUGUUUCGUGCUGUUGCUCGCAAGGUAAACUCUUUAAAAACCCCAAUGUGUCGUCUCUUGACGACGCUUCGACCGCGACCCCAGGUCAGGCGGGACUACCCGCUGAGUUUAAGCAUAUCAAUAAGCGGAGGA